rnacentral:misc_RNA from 1 species
UUAAGUUCAGCGGGUAUCCCUACCUGAUCCGAGGUCAAGAGUGUAAAAAUGUACUUUUGAACGUCGUCGUUAUGAGUGCAAAGCGCGAGAUGUACUGCGCUCCGAAAUCAAUACGCCGGCUGCCAAUUGUUUUAAGGCGAGUCUGCGCGCGGAGGCGAGACAAAACACCCAACACCAAGCAGAGCUUGAAGGUACAAAUG